rnacentral:misc_RNA from 1 species
UCUCCGUAGGUGAACCUGCGGAGGGAUCAUUACUGAGUGAGGGCCUUCGGGCUCGACCUCCAACCCUUUGUGAACACAACUUGUUGCUUCGGGAGCGACCCUGCCGUUCCGACGGCGAGCGCCCCCGGAGGCCUUCAAACACUGCAUCUUUGCGUCGGAGUUUAACACAAAUGAAACAAAACUUUCAACAACGGAUCUCUUGGUUCCAGCAUCGAUGAAGAACGCAGC